rnacentral:lncRNA from 1 species
CGGGAAAGGGGGAGGUGAAUAAAAAUUGGGGGGGAAUAAGACUUUGUGGGGAGGGGUACAAUUUUUCUCAUUUUAGAUUUCAGAAAUUAAUAAAAAGAAAAUUUCUUCAAAUAUUUGUUUUUUUGAGGGGAUUAAUAUUCAACAGCAUAGUGAAUUGCUCAAAAGCAAAAAAAAUAAUUUUAAGUUCAUUAGACCACAUUCAUUCUGUGUCAGAAACCUAUGCUGUGUCAACUAUUUAAUCACAAUCCAAAUUCAAAUGUACCCAGCUUGAGUGUUGUGUCCAUACUUGCCCAACUGUUCAGGGUUUGACCUCUGCGGUCAUAUAAAGCUGCACCCUGUGGAGCAUCUGGUUUUAGUUUGUUUUUGAACUGGCAGCAAACUUGACACACAUGACACAUGCUUCUUCUGUCAUCAUGGCAGAGGCCUUUUUUUUCUUCUUUUGAUGGAUAAUAGACCAGAAAAAGUAAAAACCCUAAAUGAAAAUAGCACUUUAUAUAUUUUGUGCUUUUGAAGCAUUUUUUUUUAUUUACCUUCAUCAGGAAUGCUCAAACCUUAUAUUGAAUUCCAAGGGUAUAUAAAUAUGUAGGAACUUAUGAAGCUAUAUGACCAAACAGAACCUAGAAAAACAACAAAAUUGAUCAGAGGUCAACUUAACCUGAGGUAGUUGGAACUUAGUUUCUUAAUAAUUUCUUAUUAUAUCCUGUAUGAGUGUUAGCAAAUGAAUUACAGAUAAUAUUAAUUUGUAUAUAUAUUUCCAUCUGCCCAUCAUGCUAGUCCUAUGUUUGAUAAUAGACAACUGUGAUUCAAACAAAUCACAGACAGACAGUGUUUAAAAAAGAAAUUAUCCACUUGAGGAACUUAAGUUUUGUUCUGAUAAAAAUAAAGAUUUCAGAUUUGUUUUCAUCAAAUAAUGUGUUUGCCAAG